GAUGGGCAUGCGUGACAUUAGCUAGUUGGUAAGGUAACGGCUUACCAAGGCUACGAUGUCUAGGGGUUCUGAGAGGAUACACCCCCACACUGGUACUGAGACACGGACCAGACUCCUACGGGAGGCAGCAGUAGGGAAUAUUGGGCAAUGGACGCAAGUCUGACCCAGCCAUGCCGCGUGCAGGAUGACAGCCUUAUGGGUUGUAAACUGCUUUUGUACGGGAAAAAACUUUCGGACGUGUCCGGAAUUGAUGGUACCGUAAGAAUAAGCAUCGGCUAACUCCGUGCCAGCAGCCGCGGUAAUACGGAGGAUGCAAGCGUUAUCCGGAUUUAUUGGGUUUAAAGGGUGCGCAGGCGGAUUUUUAAGUCAGUGGUGAAAUCCUACAGCUUAACUGUAGAACUGCCAUUGAAACUGGAAGUCUAGAAUUUAGUUGAAGUGACUGGAAUGUGUCAUGUAGCGGUGAAAUGCAUAGAGAUGACACAGAACACCGAUAGCGAAGGCAGGUCACUAAGCUAAUAUUGACGCUCAUGCACGAAAGCGUGGGGAUCAAACAGGAUUAGAUACCCUGGUAGUCCACGCCGUAAA
rnacentral:rRNA from 1 species